rnacentral:rRNA from 1 species
UACGAAGGGGGCUAGCGUUGCUCGGAAUCACUGGGCGUAAAGGGUGCGUAGGCGGGUCUUUAAGUCAGGGUGAAUCCUGGAGCUCAACUCCAGAACUGCCUUUGAUACUGAAGAUCUUGAGUUCGGGAGAGGUGAGUGGAACUGCGAGUGUAGAGGUGAAAUUCGUAGAUAUUCGCAAGAACACCAGUGGCGAAGGCGGCUCACUGGCCCGAUACUGACGCUGAGGCACGAAAGCGUGGGAGCAAAGCAGGG